GUGCUCGCUUCAGCAGUGCAUAUACCAAAUUUGGAACGAUACGGAGAAGAUUAGCAUGCCCCCUGCGCAAAGAUGACAUGCAAAUUCACAAAGUGGUCCGUGUUAAA
ensembl:snRNA U6 U6 spliceosomal RNA